GACGCACCGUCCUAACGUUGUUCGGAAUCACUGGGCUUAAAGGGCGCGUAGGCGGCUUGCCAAGUCAGGGGUGAAAUCCUGCAGCUUAACUGUAGAAGGGCCUUUGAUACUGGCGAGCUCGAGGGAGGUAGGGGUAUGUGGAACUUCCGGUGGAGCGGUGAAAUGCGUUGAUAUCGGAAGGAACGCCGGUGGCGAAAGCGACGUACUGGACCUCUUCUGACGCUGAGGCGCGAAAGCUAGGGGAGCAAACGGG
rnacentral:rRNA from 1 species